CGCAGAAUUGCGGGCACUCCGAGGGUGGUCCAGCGCGCGUCGGAGUCGUCGCGCUCUCCGAUCGGGAUUCGCGAACGUGUCUUCGCCGUGGCCGUCGCUGUCGCUGUCGUCGUCAUUGCCGUCGACACUGUCGUGUGUGUCGUGUCGCGCUCUCGUCGCGUCGUUACCAUCACGAGGGAGUCAGCCUGUUUUUUUCCUCCCGGUUGUUCAACCUGGUGUCGAAUUUUCGACGAAACGUGUUUGCGCGCGCGCGCGCGCGUCUGUGUGUAUGUGCGGCUGAGAGAAGUUUCGAGGAAGUUGCCGACGUGGGGAAUUGGGGAAAGUCAAGCGGCAAAAGUGCGCGAAUGUGCGCGAUCGGUCGACGACAUCGUGUUGUUUCGACGGACCGGUUGUGUUGCAGCAUCGCUAAAUAGUUGCGUGGUUAGGAGAGGGACGAGAGAAAAAUCAUCGACCAAGAAAAUUUCAUACACCGGGACUGACCCUUGACUUUGCGUUGCCUCGAUUUACGAUCGCGACACGACCUCGCGAGUAAGAAGAAGCCAUCGCCGGCGGGAAAGUGCAUAAAGCGAGUGCGAAACCAUUUACCAGGCUCCUUCGUGCGCUUUUUUUUAUUUUGUUCCCCCAUUGUCGGUUUUAUUACCAUUUUAUGUCGAAGACGAGGCUGGCGAGAGAAAGCGUGUAAACGCGCGAAUCGGCUCGGUAAUCGAAUUCCCUCUCCAAGCCAAGUCGGUUUCUGCACCAAGUGGACUCGUUUUAGUUUGCUAAUGUAAAUUGCAUUGCCGAUGAAAGCUUCUUAAAACGUGAGAUUGAGUUAUUUAGUUUUGGUAAAAUAAUAGAAAAAUAUGUUAUAAAAAUUUAUACGUUAGAAGUUUGACAGAGUUGAUUGCGCGCGCGUAUGUGUGUGUGUGUGUGUGUAUGCGUGUGUGUGUGUGUGUGCGCGUACAUGAGUACGCUAAAUACGUUCAUAGAAAUUCAGUGCCACAUCCACUUGACGAUAGACCACAGUUUGACUGAUUAAAUUGUCCAAGAGGCGUGUGUCGCUUUGUACUCAAACGCUAUGCGUCUCUUGAAUGACCUAGUAGCUGCAAAUUAGUUCAGGUUCUACAGAUAACCGCUUUAUUGGGAAAUGGCCUUGCAUACGGCAAUGAGAUUUGAACAACUCUUAAUUUAACUCGUCGAUAAUCGAUCACGAUAAUCAUCAUAAUCAGCAAAUUAUUCUGGAUCGAUGAAAGAAAUAAUAACUGUAAUUUUUCUAAUACUGUUUAGCAGCAUUAAACUGAUUAUCGUUUCAUUAUCACGAUCGCGCUGCCAUUAAUAGAUCGCCUGUAGUUUUCCGUCUGGGAAACAUAUUUCCGGAAAUAUAUGCACGCGGUUUGGCAUGCAUUGGCUUGAUUGCACGUGCGAUCGCGUGUGGGAGACUCGCGUGGUCCACAAUCCGCGACGAUCUACUAACGAUUCACAACGUCUAUAGUGAUUGACAGUUCGCAACACGCUCGAAAUAAUUUGCGUGGCCUCGUUCGACGCUCAGAAAAAAUCAAUGCGAAUACAUUUAAACGAUAUUUAAUUGAUAUUAAUUUUCUAAAUUAUUUUUUGCCUCUCUCUCUUUUUCUUUCUCUUUGAUUUAGCACCGAGUGUAAUGCAAAUCAAAUAUCAAAGGACAAGAAAAAUAGAGAGAAUUACUGCUCUACAUCUUUCAGGAAAGUUGGCACAAGCGUUGACACGAAGCAGAAAGUAAGAUGCAAUACAGAGAUUACCAUCUGUUGGAUUUAAUGAGUCAUAAUAUGAUAUGAUACUCUAAACAGCGCUCUUCGCUUUACAAAAUGUACUCCGUCGACCGCCUUUUUUCGUUGCGUUAUAAUCGCCAUAUUUACUGCUGCAAAUAAAUUAUUUGUGCAAGAUCCGCACUUUUGUCGCCGUAUUUGAAAACGAAAAUUUACAGAACGCUAGUAUAAAUUCUAUUAUAACAAUUAAACUGAUUAGGCGCGUUUCAUGUGUUUAAUCCUACAUUUAAUUACAGACAGACUUUUAAUUAAAAUUACGUUAAAAACACACACACACACACACACACACACACACACACACACACACACACACACACACAUAUAUAUAUAUAUAUAUAUAUAUCUGUCGCAGAUUGAACUUUGCCAUAAUAUAACUGAUAAUCAUAUCAUUAUAUUUCAAGACUUACACGUUAAUAAAUUAUUGAGAAACGCGAUCCAUUUUCAAUAAACGAAUUCCAUUUCCUAACGAUUUAAUCGAUCGCUUUCAGCACCAUAAAAAAUUAAAUAUCAAGAGAAACAUAUCUCGCGGUUAAUGUAUUUUCUAUUAUAUAAAAUAUCUACCUUUAUACGUUCUGGAAUUUUAUAUAAAACCAGAAUAAAUCUGGCGCCGAACCAGAUAGUCGAUAGAUUCGAGCAGAAAUAAUGUAAAGGUACACUUUGAAGAAUUCUUGAUGCAAACUGUAAUUUCUCGCUGGCAUUUUUCCGGAAUCAUCCACGCAUGCCGGAACGAAAUGGAACAUUCUCGUAGAAUCGACACGGGACACGUUUCGCCUGGCGAGACGUCGGGGUUUCGCCCUCGACGAGAUCGAUCGAUCGCCCGCGUCGUCGUCGUCGGCAUCUCGCUCUCUCUCGCAACAACUUAAUACUCGGAAUCUCGUUCCACGUGUAGGCCCGGGCUCAGCCUCUCGCUCGUAAAUACACCCGGGGAACGCGUAAAAGUCCGGGGGCCCGGUCGUGACGCCCGCGAGAUAAAGAGAGACACCCAGGUGGCGAGUGCGAAUGCUCGAGAAUGACUCAAGCGGACCUAUUAUGAGAAAGAAAGCGCCAGCCAUUCGCGCUGCAAAUGCACAAUAUUUUAGGCGUAGUUAUAGACGCACAGGGAUACAGACGAACGCCUACGAGAAUGUUUUUAAUGUAAAAAAAAAAGUACUCUAUUUUAAUGCGACGUCUAGUUGAGUCCUCAGAGGCAAGAAUUUGAAAGCGGAUGAAAUUUUAUCUACGUACAAAAAUCUUCCGUCGCAAUGAAGAAAAAAAGAAAAAUAGCAGGAUAUUAUAAUAAAACAUUUCUCUGACUAAUUGAAGGUUUCGAAGAAGUAAUUAAAGCGUUAACCCUUGCCUCGUGUAAAGUGAAUCAUCUGUUCACAUUGUCAUAUUUGAACAGGCGUUUCGGAUCACUCGUUGUUGAGCUUCAUAAGUUAUUAAAUAUCCGUGAGAAAAUUAGAAGAGAAAUGCUAUGGAAAUUUUAAAAUUUGCAACAAUGUUUGCCGCACAAUGAAGUUGAUUUACCGUCUGUCGUGUCACGUCCGAGAAAGAAUGCUUUAAAAAAGCAUUCUAUUUAAUUUCCGUUUAAUGAAAGCAAUUAUUCAGAAUGUGGAGACAAAAAUUUCGAAACAAUGUUCAACGAGUAUGAAACUUUUAUAAAUACUUUCUGCACGAGAAACUCUUUUUAUGCUGAAAUUAUAUGUAAAUUAAAUGUCGAGAUCGCGUUUCUCGAUUGUAGCCUCUAUUUUAUUAUUUGGUGAAUUUUAGCGGAGCCCCGCAGAACGGGCCCGACCACGCGGUGGAGAGAGAAAGAGAAAGAGAGAUCAGAGAACAGUCUCUACGAACACAUGGAUCGAGAGAAUAGCGCACGUCGGAUACACCGUCGUGAUAAAUCAUUAACCGGGCGUGUUUAUUGGCCAUGCUCGAGCAAGUCUCGACCGGUGCUUGAUUUAUUAUUGUCCGGCAUCGAUGCCGAUCGGUCGGCGUUCGAUCGGUCGUGACUCGCAAAUCGGGCGCAACAGGCGGGUCCGGGCGCCCGAUACGGAAGCUCAAAGGAACGGAAUUAGGUGCGAGAUCGGCGUGGGCGAUGAAUCCUUUCGUGGGAAGAGCUGUGGGUAAAAGCUGCGGGAUAGAAAGGAUUGGCAUGUAUAAUAGAGGAGUCGUUUGUAUUGGAUCGUCGUCGUCGUCGUCGUCGUCGUCGUCGACGUUGUCAUCAUGGGGGUCAAAAGCGAGAGAUUAAACAUUUUAGCAUCUCAAAUAUUUUUACUCCGUAACCCAGUUUUGCGCGCCGGAGAGAUUCUCUUCCCUACGUAAAAUAGCAAAGAGUUAUCCUCUCUGCUACGUCGAGACCCCGACAACUUAGGUGUUCGGGGGGGAAAGAAAAAGAAAGCAAAGAAGGGAAAAACUGUUUUGCCGGGAGUAUGCGUUACGUGUGGCGGCGACAUCGAUUCCUCGCGCGGUCCCAUUUCCCGAUCGGAGCUCUACAGGUUAAGUGAUGUAAAUUAGACCGACCCGCCGUCUGGUAUUGAAGUUCCAUGUACACCGCGAAGUAAACUACCGCGGUCGUAGGCUCCGUCUCCAUUCUUCCUUGACACGUGUACGCGAUAAAGUGCACGCGACGGUCUUCCUUCCCUCUUGACAUUACACCGGUUGCGCAGAAUUGUACUCGAGUUCAACAUUUCGCGUGCCAGCUGUUUUUUAUUCGCGCGCGUUAUAUUAUUUUUUUUUCUAUUACCUCGUAUUGAGAAAAUAAUACAAAUUUUAAUGGGAUUAAAAACAGUAGACCAGAAACUAGACCGCUUAAUCCUGUCAUACGCAUAUAUGAACCGUUUCCAGCAGUACGUCAGCCCUCGGUAUUCGUGAAAAAUGCAGCCCGAGAAUUUCCAUCGCGCGCAAUCCGCGGGCGAGCUUUUAUACGGGAUCUACCAUAAUCCCUUCAUCGUACCGCAAAUGGGUACAGUUUGUCUCUUCGCUAUUUCGUGACAUUCUAUCGUUCUCUCUCGCAUAUUAUAUUUCGCGAGCGACGCAACGAGUAGCUUCCGAGUAUCGAGUUCAUUUAUACUUGUCCCGCUAUAUUAAUUAAAAAGAAACGGCGGACGAGUCUACGAGAACGGCUUCUAAGUUCCUCCUGGUCGGAACGGUCUACCUCUCGUAAUGUCUAUCGCGGGACGCGUCGUAAAAGACUGGGAAAAAAAUACUUCCAAGGCCGCGAAGAGUCAUUUCGGUCGGUCGAUCGCGGGAAUCGAUAAAUCGUCUCGCGCAAUCAGGAUGCGGCUGUUAUCGCGAGCGAAUGUUCGUCGAUUUGUGAAACUCACGCCUGGAUAUAAACCGCGGUGCGUUUACAGCUCCGCUCCUCCAAGUUCCUCCGAAGCCUUAAAAGAGUGACGCGCGGAAAUAAGACGCGACGCAAACAGACGUAUGUUCCCUAAAUCAUAUUACGGAAUUAUAUUCCGCCGGCGCGACGAGGUUGUUACAUGUAUUAUGACUUUGAUAAUUCUUGAUAUUGUUAUCUUCGACUUAAUCUGAUACCGUUCUGUAGCGCAUUAUCGUAUUGGAUUAAAAGUAUCUGUCGCAUAAUGUCCGUCUCUUGAGCACACACGAUAGACACGCGUCUAAUAAAAAUCGAUUCGCAGCUGAUAGGAUUGUCUCGGCGAUUAUAAACGUAGUUUAUAAAUCUCGGGACUGAAUUGAAUUUUGCGGUUUACGAUUUUUCUGCCAUUUCAAUUUCGCUUAAUGUCUGCCGCGCGUUUUCUCCGAUUUCACUGAUUUCCUCCGUUCGAACGCCUCGGGCAGUCGCCAUUUAUCCGAGACCACUCGUCUUAUCUUAUCAAUGUUAUCGAAGCUCGAAUUGCGCCCACGCUUUUCUUCAAGGUUUGAGGCAAACGUUUUCUUCGAUAGUCGAUUAUUUUUUUUAUUUUUUUUUUUCGGAGUAAGUAACUUUAUCUUCCUUUAUUUAUUCUAGCAGAACGUUUUAGAUGCAUUUUCCUGAUUACCUCGAAUUGAUUAUCUAAUUGAACAUAAAAAAAA